CGCUACACUCCUACGGGAGGCAGCAGUGGGGAAUAUUGCACAAUGGGGGAAACCCUGAUGCAGCCAUGCCGCGUGUGUGAAGAAGGCCUUCGGGUUGUAAAGCACUUUCAGUAGGGAGGAAGGUAGUGUAGUUAACACCUGCAUUAUUUGACGUUACCUACAGAAGAAGCACCGGCUAACUCCGUGCCAGCAGCCGCGGUAAUACGGAGGGUGCGAGCGUUAAUCGGAAUUACUGGGCGUAAAGCGCAUGCAGGCGGCCUGUUAAGUCAGAUGUGAAAGCCCGGGGCUUAACCUCGGAAUUGCAUUUGAAACUGGCAGGCUAGAGUCUUGUAGAGGGGGUAGAAUUUCAGGUGUAGCGGUGAAAAUGCGUAGAGAUCUGAAGGAAUACCGGUGGCGAAGGCGGCCCCCUGGACAGAUACUGACACUCAGAUGCGAAAGCGUGGGGAGCAAACAGGAUUAGAUACCCUGGUAG
rnacentral:rRNA from 1 species